GAACGGAAAUCAUUUAGUAAAGAAAAGGAAGGGCCAAUUUCCUUUGAUCCUGGAGACCCGACUAAACGGGAAGCCCCGUUCUCCCGCUUCCGCUGGUUACGUCCCAGCCUUGAUUAGAGGACUAGCAGUCAGGAAAGUUUGGAGAAAGCUGAAGGAAUCGGUCUCCUGGUCCGACAGAUACUGGGUGGAGGGGAAGAGAGUAAAUGGAAGAGAAAGACAGGUACCCCUGGAAAAAAACGCCAUUUACUGGUGUCCUAAGAAAUUGCGCGAGCCACAGCUCAGCAGGACCUCGUGGCGCAACGGUAGCGCGUCUGACUCCAGAUCAGAAGGCUGCGUGUUCGAAUCACGUCGGGGUCAAGUUUUUUUUUUUUCUCCCGUAUUUUAAACUACCGACUGCUAGAAGCUGAGGUGUAUUCCUGCCGCCACUUUUCUUGAAUGUUAGAAUUAAGUUUUCCUCUUUAAGGUAUUUAUGGACUGCCAACUCUGAUGAGCCUGAUACUGUGCUAAGCACUAAGGAUGAGGAUACACUGAGUAAAAAUGGGUUUUUUUGAGCAUCAGGAGACAGAUAUGUUAAGCCACCAAAUGCCAUAAUGUGUUGGGAUCAAUGUAUUCUGGACGAACUAAUAAAAUGGAGCUUUUGGAUACGCAGAAUUGAAAUGCAGACCUG